CUUAUCAAGAGAGGUGGAGGGACUGGCCCUGUGAAAUUCAGCAACCUAUUUUUAAUUGAAAGUUGAUAAUUAUGGAUAAAAGUCCUAAGGGACUUUAAUUAUCAAUUAUUCAUUGUUAAAUAUCAAUUAAAUUUGUGGUGCUAAUUCUAACAAUUUACUGAAAGAUAAGG
rnacentral:ncRNA from 1 species